CAAGAUGUAGCUACAACAUAAAGCAUUCAGCUUACACCUGAAAGACAUCUGUCGCCUACCAGAUCAUCUUGA
rnacentral:tRNA from 2 species